GCGGAUGUAGCUCAAUUGGUUUAGAGCGCUGGUCUUCCAAACCGGAGGUUAAGGAUUCGAAUUCCUUUAUCCGC
rnacentral:tRNA from 1 species